rnacentral:tRNA from 1 species
GCCAAUGUAGCUCAGCUGGUAGAGCAAACGCUUCGUAAGCGUUAGGUCGUGGGUUCGACCCCCACCAUUGGCUCCA